GGUCCAGGGUCUGAACCCGUGCCACAGCAGUGAUAGCACCAGGUCUUAACCCACUGAGCUACCAGGGAACUCCUCCUUUCUCAUUUUUACACAUGGUUCUGCACUUCCCUCAACUUAGAGCCAAAGUCCUGUCAUAUUUUCAUUAAAUGAUACGUAAAAUAUUUAAAGUAAUAUUUAAUCAUGUUUGAAGGUUUGCAUAUUUAAUCAUUGCUAAAUAAUUAUUUAGAUCUUACUUGGAAUCGGUUUGUGUUAUUUUAUUCAAGGCUGUUGAUGUGGGUUGUAAGCAGUAUUUGUUAAGGCUGUGUUACUGACACAGAUGUUUCAGGAAAUAAUCAGAGGGAAUCCAUUUCACUUGAUCUCUUGUGGUUCUAAGUUGGGUCAGAACUUGUGCUUCCAACUCAGAUUUUGGUGCUGUUAAUUAGGCCAGAGUCAGCCCAUGGAAAUGAGAGUCAGACUUAUCAUUGUUAGUUUCAAGAUUGGAACAUUUGACUAUCAGGCUUGUUAUUUCCUUGGAAAACAAGAAUUAAAAUUCUCUGUCUUUUUGCCCAUUUAAUUUAGAUUUAUAAGCUCCAAUGGUAGCAGUUGUCUCGUUUUAGAUUUUGUGCAAGAACUGUCCCAUUUUUGGUGUUCAAUUAAUGUGUUUUUAUUUUUUAUCUAAAUUAAUGAUUCGGUCCACAAACUAAUUUACAUAUUUCUACUUGCAGUACUAUGGAGAUGGGAAACAUUCUUUUCAAUUCAGUGCCUGGAAUUCUAGACUAAAAAUUUCAGUUCAUCAGAUGAUAGCGCAAAAAAUUGUUUUAUUUGAAAAUAUGUGGUAAAGGGGUUUUAUUUGUUUCUCAAAGCUGUUCAACAUAAUAUGCUUAGAAAGAUGGCUCAAAUUGCCAGAGUGAUCACAGAUUUGGGAACUGUUAAGAGGUUAAUUCUCUUCAGUGGAUACUUUGGAUACUACUAAUAAAUAUACUGAAUAUUUAACUAUAUGAGAUAUUUCUUUUUAAAUUGUUAUUUCAAAGAAAUAUAAAUGUGUUAAUACUGUAGGAGUUUUCUAAUACAUGAGAUAUAAGAUUUUCUUUAAAAGGAAUACUAAUAUUUAAAAAAAAAUUCCAUGUAAUCAGGACUUCAGUAAGAGUACAUGUUAUCCACAAUGCAAGAAUUGUUAGAGAUGCUUCCUUAAUUUUUUGAUUAUGUCUUGGUAUGGAUUUUGACUCAUUGGGGAGCUUGAUUGACUAAAUAGGUCUUAAAAAAUGCAUAAGGCACUUUUUUAUUCUUUGUGUUGAUCAUAGUCUUGGUGUAUAGGAGAAAACAUUGUAUACACGCAUUUACUGCAGAAAAACCCAUUAUCAUCAUUUGUGGAAAAUCAAUACAUGUAUUUCAAAAUUUAGAUUGAUGGUGAUGUGCCAUCAAUGUUCUGAAGCUUGGGGGAUGCUCAGGGGUCAAGAGCAGGCCAGCUGAGCUCUUGCAUCAUCACUGACUAUGGGAUUGACUUUUUCAGGCAGCUUUUUCCCAGCCUGGGGCUCACGUUCCUUAGCUGAAGAUGAAUGAUAUACCUAAAUAACAUUUUGACAGGAAAUAGUGUUAAAUAAGUGCUGUGUUUAUCUCUAACACCACUACCUUGGGCUAAGGCAGAGUAGAUUUUACCUGUGACGGUGAAAAUGGAAUUUUAUUGGUCUUUUUUUAUGAAAGUUUAGUAUAAAGUACCAGCCAUCCAUAGACCUUUAAAAUGAUGUUGCGUUUGCAUUUGUUUCAUAAUGUAACAGAAUUCAAAGAUGUUAAAUCUAUUGAUGACCUUCUCUCUUGGUUCCUAAUUAGGAUUUUUCAAACUGUAGGUUAUGACCCAUCAGUGGAUUAUCACUUUUGUGAGAGUAACAACAAAACUAGAGUCCAUAAUAGAAAAAUUGCAGAGUGCAUUUGCACAAAGUAUAGGCAAGUAUAAAGGUGGGUGCCUGUGCACACAAGCUCGUGUAUGUGUGUCUCAGUGUACUGGGUAACUGUGUAAAACACAUUUUUACUUGGGGUUUUGCUCAGAAAGCUUAGAAAUGUUAGAUAACAUCAGUUACUCUCCCUGAAGGGGACCAGCUAAUGACCUAUUUAAAAUUUGAGGGUGCUUAUUCCUAAAAUAGGAAAUGAUAGUGGUGCUUUCUGGUGAGUAUUGUAAAACUGUCACUGCAUUUUGAAUGUGGAAAGACUUAUUUUGCCCCUGCCUCAUUUCUACUCUUAUGCCCUCGUCACUGUUAAUAUGUUAUUGAAUAAUGGCAUUCAGACAGUGUACUUGUGGACUGAGGUAUUUCAUUGCUAAAAUUGAGUGUAAGGGUUUUUCUCCAAAUAAGUUAAUGGAUAGAAUUUUCUCAUCUUAAAUUCCUCCCAUGGUUUCUCCUUAAACUUUUGGUGACUCUCAGUACCUGUCAGAUGAUAAAGUGGAAAUGGAAAGAGCAAAUGGCCAAUCAUGUUUAAUGCCCCGGUGCUAGCUCUUUCAUGAACAUAGGAGAUUUUAUGUUUCACGUAUGUAAUAAGCUUUUAUCUUCUCUUAGUCAAAGGUUUUUUGUUUCUAGGAUGAAAUUAGAUGUAUGGUUGCCCUGAACAACUUGGGUUUGAACCACGCACGUCCAUUUAUAUGUGGAUUUCAGGACUGCAUGGUUUAUGGUUGGUGGAAUCUGGAUGCAGAACUUAAGGUCUGCUGGUGGAUAGGGAGGGCUGACUAUAAAUUAGAUGUGGACUUUCUAUUGUGUGGAGGGUCUGCGCCCAUAAUCCCUAUGUCAUUUAAGGGUCACUGUAUUGUCAUUUGAUGCAGUUCUGUUGAGGCAAGAGUUCCUCAGAAAAUGUUGAUGCUCAGAGUUCCCGUUGUGGCUCAGUGGUAAUGAAUCUGACUAGUAUUCAUGAGGAUGAGCGUUUGAUCCCUGCGGGUUAAGGAUUUGGCAUUGCCGUGAGCUGUGGUGUAGGUCACAGGUGUGGUUUAGAGUUGUUGUGACUGAUGUGGGCUGGCAGCUGCUGCUCCAAUUUGACCCCUAGCCUGGGAACUUCCAUAUGCUGUGGGUGUGGCCCUAAAAGUAAAUAAAUAAAUAAAUAAAUAAAUAAAUAAAUAAAUUCUUUGUAACCUUUAAAAAAAAAUCGUUACUGUUAGUGAUUCACUUUGAUUUGCUGAUCAGUAGGAAUCAGAAUUACAAAUGGGUACCAACAGCAGUGAAAUAGUCACCUGUGAUACUAUUUCUGUUUAACAAUACUAUCACAAACAUUGCAUCACAGCCUUUAAUCUUCUCAAUCUCAUUAUUUUUGCCUUCAGCAUUAAUUUCUAGCUGUCCUGGGGGCCGGGGUUACUGUAAGAGUGUAUUCUGGUUGCUUCUGAUUCCCAUGGACAUAUGAUGAAUUCAUUUUGGAUUUUCUGAAGCAGCUAUCUCACCUGAUGCCAUAGGCAAUUCCUGGCCAAGCAAAAGCUUUUCUUUAACUUAAAAUUUGAAUGACAAGCGCCCUGUAUAGGAGCACCCAGACACAUAAAACAAAUCUUAGCAGACAAGGGAGAAAUUGAUGGAAGUGCAAUAAAAUUCAAAUGACAGACAUUGAAUUGGGUAGACAUCCUCCUCUAGGAUAAUCUUUUCAUCAGUGCUUCAGUUCAACGAAUAAACAUAUAUUUUAUCAUUAUUGAUGAAUGUUUUAAUUUUUCUUAAAUUAUAAAAUGUCAUUGUAAUAAAACAAUGAUAAAACAAAAAUGAUAAGAAAUAAAAAAAUAAUAAAAAUACAAUAAUAAAAAU
rnacentral:lncRNA from 1 species